UACGUAGGGUGCAAGCGUUGUCCGGAAUUAUUGGGCGUAAAGAGCUCGUAGGCGGUCUGUUGCGUCGGCUGUGAAAACCCGGGGCUCAACUCCGGGCCUGCAGCCGAUACGGGCAGACUAGAGUUCGGCAGGGGAGACUGGAAUUCCUGGUGUAGCGGUGAAAUGCGCAGAUAUCAGGAGGAACACCGGUGGCGAAGGCGGGGUCUCUGGGCCGAUACUGACGUGAGAAGCGAAAAGCAUGGGGGAGC
rnacentral:rRNA from 1 species